GUGUUCGUUGAAAGGAGAGACGGUUGGCAUCCCUCCUGACAGGGACGGGAACAGCCUUCGGGCUUUCCUGUUAUGCACACGGUUAAGGCUUCCCGCUUCGGCGGAUCUUAUCCAAUUUUUUUU